rnacentral:rRNA from 1 species
UUUUUUUGGGAGGGGCAAUCUGGUGCCAGCAGCCGCGGUAAUUCCAGCUCCAAUAGCGUAUAUUAAAGUUGUUGCAGUUAAAAAGCUCGUAGUUGAAUUUCGGGGUUCUACCGUUGGUCGGGCAAUAGUCUGUACUGGCGUGUAGAAUUUCUACCUUCUGGGGAACCAUCAUGUUAUUUAUUUAGCGUGGUGGGAAACCAGGACCUUUACCUUGAAAAAAUUAGAGUGUUCAAAGCAGGCUUACGUCUGAAUACAUUAGCAUGGAAUAAUAAAAUAGGACGGUGGUCCUGUUUUGUUGGUUUCUGAAUCACCGUAAUGAUUAAUAGGGAUAGUUGGGGGCAUUAGUAUUCAAUUGUCAGAGGUGAAAUUCUUGGAUUUAUUGAAGACUAACUUCUGCGAAAGCAUUUGCCAAGGAUGUUUUCAUUAAUCAAGAACGAAAGUUAGGGGAUCGAAGACGAUCAGAUACCGUCGUAGUCUUAACCAUAAACUAUGCCGACUAGGGAUCGGACGAUGUUAAUUUUUCUUGACUCGUUCGGCGCCUACGGGGGAAAACAAAAAA